UGGUCUCCUGCAUGGAGCUGGUGAGCCCAUCCGAGACCCACAGGAUGCAUGCAUGGGGAGGGGGGUACCUUGGGUUGGGUCAAUGAUGAGAACCUUAUAUUUUCCUGAAGAGAGGUGAUGACUUAAAAAUCAUGCUCAAUAGGAUUACGCUGAGGCCCAGCCUAGGGGAGAAUUUUGGACAUGGACACUGGGAAUCAUGAGGUCCCUGGCAGGGCCACUAUAUUUUGGGCUAGAGACCUUGAGGCCCUCAAAGGCCUCUCAGGGGUACCCAACCCUGUCUCUAUGCUCCUCCACGAAGCACACCAGGCUUCCCGUGUGGACUUGGUUUGACCUACCAGUUCCCUGGAGGCAGGGCACACUGGGGGCUGCUCUCUGAGCCCCUGUUCUCCCCUUUUGUCUUUCAGUGAGCUCUUCAGCUCAGAAGGGCCCCUCGGCCUUGACCCGCAGAGAUGUUGAGCCUGGAGGAAGACUUAUGUGAGGCCCAGUGGAGCCAGGCCGGUGUGUGUCAGCCAGGUGCUCAGCCCCUGGUGCGAUUAUGGUCGGGCCCUUCCUGGCACCCUGGUCUCCGGCACUGAGCUGUGUGAGCUCCUUCACCCACCUGAGCCACCUGGCAUUGACCAUAAUAGAUGGUGAUCCCGGAGGAAAACUUGGGUUGGGUCUGCUGUCUCUGGGCCAACGUCAGUCACACAGGUGCCCGGCCCACAGUGUGCUGAAGCUCGGGCCCUUCCUGGAGCGCUUGGCUCCUGCACUGAGCUGUGGUGAGCCCAUCUGUGUCCUGCUGGAUGCAUGCGUAGGGAGGGGGGGUGCCCUGCGUUGGGUCGAUGAUGAGAACCUUAUAUUGUUCUGAAGAGAGGUGAUGACUUAAAAAUCAUGCUCAAUAGGAUUACGCUGAGGCCCAGCCUAAGGGAGGAUUGUGGAAGAGGUUGCU
rnacentral:lncRNA from 13 species